AUAUAUAAGUCUGAAUAAUGAAAGAAAUAUGGGAUAAGGGUCGAAAACAGUGAAAACAUAUUAAAAUUAACGACUUCUUUUUUUAUCACAAUUCUUUUCUCUAUCCCUUUCUCUUUCUCUUUCUCUU
rnacentral:ribozyme from 12 species